ensembl:lncRNA
UUGUGUUUGUCUUGAUGUCCAAUAUAAAUUCUGCUACCUGAAAAAACAAAACAAAAAACAAUUGGGAACUGCUGAUCCAAAAUGCCUUUGCUGUGUGGGGUUUGUUCUCAGGUUCGCCAUAGUCUCCUGUGUACAACAUGCCCAUGCCAAGAUCCUGCUGCUGUACCUUUAGCCGUGACAAGUCGGCCUCUGCACCAGCUGUGCCCAUGGGGCGUCAUCAGUCGUAACAAGAGUCGGUGUGCCCGCUUCAGCGCAACCCCAUUGUGGUGUUAGAGGAUAAUAACACUCUGCUUCCUUUUGUCAGUGUGUUUUGCUGGAUGAUAAACAGAGGGGAUGAAGGACCGGCAGAGGAGCUCAGGCUCAAAGAGUGCGCCGGAGCAGGACCACAGCAUUUUAAUAAUGGUCAUUUGUGCGAUUAUUCCGAAGCAUCCGCGGCACGGAGGAAAGGGGAUUUCUCAUCGCCUCCUGCCCGCGCAUCUGCGGCAUUACUCAGUGUGAGCUAUUGCAGGAGAGCUCAUUGCUCUCAAAAAUCAAAGUUAAAUGGGUCAUCUAUCAUCUGAAUUUGUGUCUGGCUGACUUGUCUGAACAUCACAAUGAUUUAUGGCUGGAAUUGGAGAAGUCAACCAUGCAUGUUUCUUAGUUUAUCGUUUUAUGCUGCCUUCAAUUAAACCUCUAUAAACAGGAUGAUGGCUUUACAACAUUGUCCGGCAAUAAGGGCGAUGAAGUUUUUGCAUAAGGACACGUAGCUUUCAGCCUUCUAAUAUCCCAUUGACUUUUGCGGUUGGGUUUGGGGACGUGCAGAACAGCGUUCCUAGAAUGAAAGGAGACUUGUGUUGGUCCGUCCAUUUUUCAUUAACUAAAUCCUGUAAUUUGAUCAUUCUGUGAUUCUUAUGACACUAUAAUGUCAUUAAGGUACGAUCUUGAUUAUUCCCUGCUUGCAUCAACAAGCAAAUGCCACCUUAAUGAUCUGCCGUUUGCUUAUUGUAUUCCGCUUAUUGUUUCCCAUUUCUCAUUAUUGCCGUCAUUUUUCUAGAUAAAAGUGCAUGCAGAAAUUCAAUUUUCUGAGCCUGGAAUCCAGGGGCGAUAACAUGUUUGCUGAUUAGAACCUGAAUAUAUGGAAUUUAGCAUGGCAGUUGAAGAGUAAAUGGUGUUUGUGUGAGUGUUUGUGUGUGUAUCUCUGCUUAUAUUUCACUAGGGAAACAUCUUGGUUCUUGUGCUCAUUGUGUUGCCUAUACCUUACAUACUUAGACUCGUCCUCAAAAAUGCAGUGAUAUUGUUAUGUGUACAGUGUGUUACUGUUUAAUGUGGGCGCUUUGUUUGAGCUUUAUUUAUAUCUUUAUUAUUUGCAGCGAUGGUGUAAGUGGUGUGUUUAUUGACAAAGGUAUACCCAGGGAGAUAACAUACUGAAAGGCCCAAUUACCUGUAUUCAUCAUUACAGGUUUCAGGCUGUGGAAAACAAGCUUUGAUUCUUUGUUUAGAAGGUUUUAUUUCUGUCAAGACAGUAGGAAAAUAUGUUAAAAUAAAUCCCCACUCUGUUGUUUUGGUAUAGUCAACCUUAAAAACAACUGUGCUAACAAUAAUGGGCUACGAAAAGCAUUUUAUGUAGCUUUUGUUUUCUUUUCUGAGAGCCUAACAUGGCUUUUGUCUCUUUGAGAACACAUGUCACAUGGGAAAAAAUGGCACAAGGUUAUUGAAAAAAUUUAGAAGAGGAACUGAUUUAAUUUUCACCCUUAGCACAACGAGGGAAAGUGUAAGGACCUUGGCAUUGGCUGAAGAGGGUGAAAUUAAUCAGCGUGCUAUCUCUAGUGAGCGCCAGUUAAUCACAGGCCUCAGCAUUUUAUUAACAAAAUGAUAUAUCUGCUUCAAAUUACCAUAUCAGGAAAACUUCCCCCCCACCCCAUGCGUCUCGCAUUUUGUCAUUUGAAACGGAAACUUGAUUAACAACAUUUUUAGUUAGGGCUGUGUGUAGAGAGAGAGAGAGAGUGUGUGUGAUGCAAAUGAAAGGGGAAAUGAUCAUAAAUAUUACACAUAUUGUGGCAGGGCCUUGUCUUAUGCCUCCAAAUGUCUAAUUUUUUAUUUGUCCUGGCAAGCAGUACUACUGUAAGAUCAAGAAGUGUCCGCUGGUCGACAGGGCGGAGUGUACAGCAGGAAACUUGAUUUUUGUUAACACUACCAAACAGUCGAAUGCCACAAUCGCAUUUCUCAAACAACUUUUAUAAUGAGAUUACAUAUUCAUUAGAUCCAAGAACAAGAACUGACCUUUGGAGAAAUUAGCAUUUGUAAAAAGUAAAAUCUACAUUAAACACUUUGACAAAUGAACUGCCUAUUUUUUUCUUUUACUUAAGACUGAUUGCAUUGUCGUUGAUGCUUUUUGAGAAUUGUACACUCUUGCUUAUAAUAAACUGAUCGUUAUCUAAAUCUCUUAAUUGCUUUUGAAAACUCAGGCACUUGUCUGAGCUUCAGAUAAACUAAUCUCUUAAUAAAUUAAUAGUGACUAAUGAUUAAUCUUUUAAUAGAUAGAUCAGUAGCGUCUAAUAUUUAAAUAUCUUAAUAGAUCAAUAGCGACUAAUAUUUAAUAUUUAAAGUUAAUAGCAAAUGUUAUUUAAUACCUUGAUAGAACAAUAGCAACUGAUAUGAAAAAAGCACAAAUGUCAGGGCAUGACAAAACUUCUCCAGGCCCCAAAAAUACCCUUAGACUCCAGAGGGUUAAUCUCUUAAGAGCUAAAGUUACUAAUAUUUAUUACAUUUAUAGAACAAUAGUGACUUAUAUUUAAAUCUCUAAUAGAACAAUAACAAUUGAUAUUUAAUCCCUUAAUAGAUCAGUAAUGACUAAUAUUUAAAUGUCUUAUUAAAACAAUAACGACUUGUAUUUAUUCCUGUAAUAGAACAAUAGUGACUAAUAUUUCAAUCUCUUAAUAGAACAAUAACAACUGAUAUUUAAUCACAGUGAUUAAUAUUUAAUUCCUUAGAACAAUAGAAUUAAAUCUAAAUGAAAU